rfam:Felis catus isolate Cinnamon breed Abyssinian chromosome C2, whole genome shotgun sequence.
ACCUGGCUGGCUUAGUUGGUAGAGCAUGAGACUCCUGAUCUCAGGGUUGUGAGUUCGAACUUCACAUUGGGUG